GCAAUGCAUGUCUGUGUGUUGUUUAGUUCAUGGUCUAGAUUCCAAUGUUAGCUAGCUCCGCUGUUGUUGUUAUUUUGUAGAAAGCCGUUGUUGAUACUAUCCAGAUGGCCACAACUAGAUAACUACAUAGCAAGAUGACGAAGAAGCACUUUAAUUCGAUCUCCAUAAUUCCACUACCAGCCCAUCGCUAGCUAGCUAACAUUAGCAUAUUCGCUAGCUAGCACAACAUAGCUAGUUUGCUAAGGACAAUGCUCCCGAGUGGCGCAGGCACUCGUCUCAGUGCUAGAGGCGUCACUACGGACACCCUGGUUCGAAUCCAGGCUGUAUCAAUUCAAUUCAAGGGCUUUAUUGGCAUGGGAAACAUGUGUUAACAUUGCCAAAGCAAGUGAGGUAGACAACAUACAAAAUGAAUAUAUAAAGUGAAAAACAACAAAAAUUAACAGUAAACAUUACACAUACAGAAGUAUAUAUCACAAACUAGCCGUGAUUGGGAGUUCCAUAAGGGCGGCGCACAAUUGGCCUAGCGUUUGGCCGGUGUAGGCCGUCAUUGUAAAUAAGAAUUUGUUCUUAACUGACUUGCCUAGUUAAAUAAAGGUACAAUUUAAAAAAUGCACCAACUCGGUAGCUGUUUCAUGGAAAGCAAUCCAUUGUGAUUUAAUUAUGUAAUUACUAGCUACAUUGGUUAGCUUCCUUGGAAUUAUUUAGUGUGCAUUGCUUCUGUGCACUUAGCUACUUACUAUCCCAUAUUGCAUAUGAAGUGUGACUGGCUCAUGACAUUUAACCGUGUAUGUAUGGAGAAUGUCAUUUUUUCAAUUUUGUUGUCACUCCUGUUUGCUCCCCACGUUCAUGCUCUCUGGUUGGCACAAAGUCAAGUCAUUGUCCACUGACGAGCAUUGAGAUUCUGACAAGUAGAUAAGACAGGAUCGUCGCUAUGGCGUCUACACGUAGCAGGUACAGCAUUUGUUCUAGCAAAGACAAAACGGCAUCCCACUGUAAUAAGUAGCAGUCUAUCGUUAGUGAGAUUAUCAGUGUGUUUCAUGCUGAAAUUCAAAUGUAAUUUUAUUCAACAUUCGUGAAACACAGUGCACGUGAAGCUAGCUGGAAGGUUUUCGGCAAAGGAUUUCUGUGCGCGGAUAAUGUCCAAGAGGGAUAGCAUCUGUGCAUCGCGACUAGGUGGUAUCCCAAAUCUUUCACUUCCUUUCUUCCUGAUUUCAUACCCGGAUAUGCAGUAUUAUCUCGGUAUAUUUUAUACAAUGUGAAAUCGCCACAGUAAAUGAUCAGAUCUUCACAAUAUAUUGGGUUUAGUGGUCGAUUUGGGGACCAGUGUUUCCGCUGCAGUCAUUUAGCCACGGAAAAAUUGUCGCCACGCCCUAAAAACAUGGACCCUGGAAUAAUAUUUCUGCCCAAACGCACUUUGAAGAUGCUAUAACAGUUCACAUUUACUAAUGAAUAGAAUAAUCCGACAACCCCAUAGUAGAAUAGUUUAUCUAUUUACCUAUCCGGCUUGUGUGUUGGAUAUGAGAAAUAUUCCUCUCAAGGCGCAUUCAUUUUGCAGAAACAUCCAAGCAGUCAAUGCACAACAAUUCUUAAUGCAAUCUCGAGAAAACAGCAGUUUUUAAUAGCCUUUGUUAAAAAGAUGGGGAUAUGCACCAUUUUAAAGUGUUUAACCGUGUCAUGGUUAAGGAGAGGGGAGAGUGGAGCUAAAUGUAACACAGUACCUUGGGGUAAAACACCACCCUACCUACAAAAUAUUUCUGGGGGACUUAAAAAAUGGUGAGACUGAUUACAUUUUUAGUUGAGCAAGAGUAGUGGCAACCAGGGAAAAUGUUUGGAAGAAUUGUGGUUUCUGUGAGAAGUACAGGCAAGGGACAUGUUACCCUGGCUGGCGGCAUACUACCAAGUUACCCUAACAGGUCAGUCUGUGCUGUCAGAGACAGGCCAAGAGAAAUGGGGACAGUGUGACCAGAGCUGCAGAUGUCAUCAGACAACUCCACACCAGGGCAAUGACAAGAGAAAUAACAUGCUUUCACCUUUUUCAAUAAACUUAACUGGACUUUUCA